ACGUUGUUCGGAAUCACUGGGCUUAAAGGGCGCGUAGGCGGGCUUAAAAGUCAGGGGUGAAAUCCCACGGCUCAACCGUGGAAGUGCCUCUGAUACUGUAAGUCUCGAGGGAGGUAGGGGCGUGCGGAACUUCCGGUGGAGCGGUGAAAUGCGUAGAUAUCGGAAGGAACACCGGUGGCGAAAGCGGCGCGCUGGACCUCUUCUGACGCUGAGGCGCGAAAGCCAG
rnacentral:rRNA from 1 species